CCUACGGGUGGCAGCAGUCGAGAAUCAUUCACAAUGGGGGAAACCCUGAUGGUGCGACGCCGCGUGGGGGAAUGAAGGUCUUCGGAUUGUAAACCCCUGUCAUGUGGGCGCAAAUUAAAAGGAUAGUACCACAAGAGGAAGAGACGGCUAACUCUGUGCCAGCAGCCGCGGUAAUACGGAGGUCUCAAGCGUUGUUCGGAAUCACUGGGCGUAAGGCGUGCGUAGGCUGUUUCGUAAGUCGUGUGUGAAAGGCGCGGGCUCAACCCGCGGACGGCACAUGAUACUGCGAGACUAGAGUAAUGGAGGGGGAACCGGAAUUCUCGGUGUAGCAGUGAAAUGCAUAGAUAUCGAGAGGAACACUCGUGGCGAAGGCGGGUUCCUGGACAUUAACUGACGCUGAGGCACGAAGGCCAGGGGAGCGAAAGGGAUUAGAUACCCCAGUAGUC
rnacentral:rRNA from 1 species